rnacentral:rRNA from 1 species
AUUGAACGCUGGCGGCAUGCCUUACACAUGCAAGUCGAACGGUAACAGGUCUUCGGAUGCUGACGAGCGGCGAACGGGUGAGUAAUACAUCGGAACGUGCCUAGUAGUGGGGGAUAACUACUCGAAAGAGUGGCUAAUACCGCAUGAGAUCUACGGAUGAAAGCAGGGGAUCGCAAGACCUUGUGCUACUAGAGCGGCCGAUGGCAGAUUAGGUAGUUGGUGGGAUAAAAGCUUACCAAGCCGACGAUCUGUAGCUGGUCUGAGAGGACGAUAAGCCACACUGGGACUGAGACACGGCCCAGACUCCUACGGGAGGCAGCAGUGGGGAAUUUUGGACAAUGGGCGCAAGCCUGAUCCAGCAAUGCCGCGUGCAGGAUGAAGGCCUUCGGGUUGUAAACUGCUUUUGUACGGAACGAAAGGCCCUGGGUUAAUACCCUGGGGUCAUGACGGUACCGUAAGAAUAAGCACCGGCUAACUACGUGCCAGCCGCCGCCGUAACAC